UAAGGAAUAUUGGACAAUGGAGGCAACUCUGAUCCAGCCAUGCCGCGUGAAGGAAUAAGGCCCUAUGGGUUGUAAACUUCUUUUAGACGGGACAAAACCCCUUUACGUGUAAAGGGUUGAUGGUACUGUCAGAAUAAGCAUCGGCUAACUUCGUGCCAGCAGCCGCGGUAAUACGAAGGAUGCAAGCGUUAUCCGGAAUUAUUGGGUUUAAAGGGUGCGUAGGCGGACUAAUAAGUCAGUGGUGAAAGCCUGCAGCUUAACUGCAGAAUUGCCAUUGAUACUGUUAGUCUUGAGUACAGUUGAGGUAGGCGGAAUGUGUCAUGUAGCGGUGAAAUGCUUAGAUAUGACACAGAACACCGAUUGCGAAGGCAGCUUGCUAAGCUGUAACUGACGCUGAGGCACGAAAGCGUGGGGAGCAAGCA
rnacentral:rRNA from 1 species